rnacentral:rRNA from 1 species
UACGAAGGGGGCUAGCGUUGUUCGGAAUCACUGGGCGUAAAGCGCACGUAGGCGGAUCUUUAAGUCAGGGGUGAAAUCCUGGAGCUCAACUCCAGAACUGCCUUUGAUACUGGGAAGCUUGAGUCCGGGAGAGGUGAGUGGAACUCCGAGUGUAGAGGUGAAAUUCGUAGAUAUUCGGAAGAACACCAGUGGCGAAGGCGGCUCACUGGCCCGGUACUGACACUGAGGCACGAAGGCCAGGGGAGCAAACGGG